rnacentral:rRNA from 1 species
UACGUAGGUGGCAAGCGUUGUCCGGAUUUACUGGGCGUAAAGCGUGCGCAGGCGGUUCGUCGUGUCCGAUGUGAAAGCCCCGGGCUCAACCUGGGAAUGGCAUUGGAAACUGGCGGACUCGAGUGUGGCAGAGGGGGGUGGAAUUCCGCGUGUAGCAGUGAAAUGCGUAGAGAUGCGGAGGAACACCGAUGGCGAAGGCAGCCCCCUGGGCUAACACUGACGCUCAGGCACGAAAGCGUGGGGAGCAAACAGG